UGAGGAAUAUUGGUCAAUGGGCGCGAGCCUGAACCAGCCAAGUAGCGUGAAGGAUGACUGCCCUACGGGUUGUAAACUUCUUUUAUAAAGGAAUAAAGUGAGGCACGUGUGCCUUUUUGUAUGUACUUUAUGAAUAAGGAUCGGCUAACUCCGUGCCAGCAGCCGCGGUAAUACGGAGGAUCCGAGCGUUAUCCGGAUUUAUUGGGUUUAAAGGGAGCGUAGAUGGGUUGUUAAGUCAGUUGUGAAAGUUUGCGGCUCAACCGUAAAAUUGCAAUUGAUACUGGCAGCCUUGAGUACAGUUGAGGUAGGCGGAAUUCGUGGUGUAGCGGUGAAAAUGCUUAGAUAUCACGAAGAACUCCGAUUUGCGAAGGCAGCUUUUACUAAAACUGCCACUGACAUUGAUGCUCGAAAGUGUGGGGUAUCAAACA
rnacentral:rRNA from 1 species